rnacentral:rRNA from 1 species
GAGAAUGCCGGUGUGAGUAGCGAAAGACGGGUGAGAAUCCCGUCCACCGAUUGACUAAGGUUUCCAGAGGAAGGCUCGUCCGCUCUGGGUUAGUCGGGUCCUAAGCUGAGGCCGACAGGCGUAGGCGAUGGAUAACAGGUUGAUAUUCCUGUACCACCUAUAAUCGUUUUAAUCGAUGGGGGGACGCAGUAGGAUAGGCGAAGCGUGCGAUUGGAUUGCACGUCUAAGCAGUAAGGCUGAGUAUUAGGCAAAUCCGGUACUCGUUAAGGCUGAGCUGUGAUGGGGAGAAGACAUUGUGUCUUCGAGUCGUUGAUUUCACACUGCCGAGAAAAGCCUCUAGAUAGAAAAUAGGUGCCCGUACCGCAAACCGACACAGGUAGUCAAGAUGAGAAUUCUAAGGUGAGCGAGCGAACUCUCGUUAAGGAACUCGGCAAAAUGACCCCGUAACUUCGGGAGAAGGGGUGCUCUUUAGGGUUAACGCCCAGAAGAGCCGCAGUGAAUAGGCCCAAGCGACUGUUUAUCAAAAACACAGGUCUCUGCUAAACCGUAAGGUGAUGUAUAGGGGCUGACGCCUGCCCGGUGCUGGAAGGUUAAGAGGAGUGGUUAGCUUCUGCGAAGCUACGAAUCGAAGCCCCAGUAAACGGCGGCCGUAACUAUAACGGUCCUAAGGUAGCGAAAUUCCUUGUCGGGUAAGUUCCGACCCGCACGAAAGGCGUAACGAUUUGGGCACUGUCUCAACGAGAGACUCGGUGAAAUCAUAGUACCUGUGAAGAUGCAGGUUACCCGCGACAGGACGGAAAGACCCCGUGGAGCUUUACUGUAGCCUGAUAUUGAAAUUCGGCACAGCUUGUACAGGAUAGGUAGGAGCCUUUGAAACGUGAGCGCUAGCUUACGUGGAGGCGCUGGUGGGAUACUACCCUAGCUGUGUUGGCUUUCUAACCCGCACCACUUAUCGUGGUGGGAGACAGUGUCAGGCGGGCAGUUUGACUGGGGCGGUCGCCUCCUAAAAGGUAACGGAGGCGCUCAAAGGUUCCCUCAGAAUGGUUGGAAAUCAUUCAUAGAGUGUAAAGGCAUAAGGGAGCUUGACUGCGAGACCUACAAGUCGAGCAGGGUCGAAAGACGGACUUAGUGAUCCGGUGGUUCCGCAUGGAAGGGCCAUCGCUCAACGGAUAAAAGCUACCCCGGGGAUAACAGGCUUAUCUCCCCCAAGAGUUCACAUCGACGGGGAGGUUUGGCACCUCGAUGUCGGCUCAUCGCAUCCUGGGGCUGUAGUCGGUCCCAAGGGUUGGGCUGUUCGCCCAUUAAAGCGGUACGCGAGCUGGGUUCAGAACGUCGUGAGACAGUUCGGUCCCUAUCCGUCGUGGGCGUAGGAAAUUUGAGAGGAGCUGUCCUUAGUACGAGAGGACCGGGAUGGACAUACCUCUGGUGUACCAGUUGUCGUGCCAACGGCAUAGCUGGGUAGCUAUGUGUGGACGGGAUAAGUGCUGAAAGCAUCUAAGCAUGAAGCCCCCCUCAAGAUGAGAUUUCCCAACUUCGGUUAUAAGAUCCCUUAAAGAUGAUGAGGUUAAUAGGUUCGAGGUGGAAGCAUGGUGACAUGUGUAGCUGACGAAUACUAAUCGAUCGAAGACUUAAUCAA